UGAACGCUGGCGGCGUGCCUAAUACAUGCAAGUCGAGCGAACGGACGCGAAGCUUGCUUUUCUGAUGUUAGCGGCGGACGGGUGAGUAACACGUGGAUAACCUACCUAUAAGACUGGGAUAACUUCGGGAAACCGGAGCUAAUACCGGAUAAUAUUUUGAACCGCAUGGUUCAAAAGUGAAAGACGGUCUUGCUGUCACUUAUAGAUGGAUCCGCGCUGCAUUAGCUAGUUGGUAAGGUAACGGCUUACCAAGGCAACGAUGCAUAGCCGACCUGAGAGGGUGAUCGGCCACACUGGAACUGAGACACGGUCCAGACUCCUACGGGAGGCAGCAGUAGGGAAUCUUCCGCAAUGGGCGAAAGCCUGACGGAGCAACGCCGCGUGAGUGAUGAAGGUCUUCGGAUCGUAAAACUCUGUUAUUAGGGAAGAACAUAUGUGUAAGUAACUGUGCACAUCUUGACGGUACCUAAUCAGAAAGCCACGGCUAACUACGUG
rnacentral:rRNA from 1 species